rnacentral:rRNA from 1 species
UACGUAGGGGGCAAGCGUUGUCCGGAAUCAUUGGGCGUAAAGAGCGUGUAGGCGGCCCGGUAAGUCUGCCGUGAAAGUCCAGGGCUCAACCCUGGGAUGCCGGUGGAAACUGUCGGGCUCGAGUCCGGAAGAGGCGAGUGGAAUUCCUGGUGUAGCGGUGAAAUGCGCAGAUAUCAGGAGGAACACCAAUGGCGAAGGCAGCUCGCUGGGACGGUACUGACGCUGAGACGCGAAAGCGUGGGGAGCGAACAGG